rnacentral:lncRNA from 1 species
AUAGUAGGAAAAAGCAGGAAAUAAACUCUACCGCUAAAAAUCACUACACUAUCAUACUCUACACUAAUCAACUGUAGGAAAUGUCAAAUCUGACCCAAUCCAAUCGGGACUGUAAACCUACCCGUCCCUGGGACUGUGAAUACACCCGUCCCUGCCCAGUUACGACUGUCCAGCUACCUCCACACUAACAGGUCCGUGGAGAGCAAGUCCAACCGGCAUGAGCGACACCAACGCGAAAGUACAAAGCCCGUCUUCGGAGUGGCACUCGUGGGCGCUACCCAACUGAGUAUGCAGCGUAUCUCUGUCGAACUCAAACAGGCUCUGUCAAGCCAAAGUCCAAGUAACCGACUCUAACUGGUCUAACAACCAACAAGAAACGUGCCCUCGGCACCAUCUGACGCCAAAACGGCGAUACGGGUCCACCGUCAACUCUGACGGCACCCACCAGUCGGGAACAACCUGAACGAUUCUGUAAAAAUCCACUCGGCGAAUCAGCACGAGUGUAAAUGUAAUCUAAACUACCUGGAGUACUCGUCUCGAAGAUACUGCGACAGUACAAUUUAAUAACGGCUCCUAGGGCUAAAUCAGGCAGUUUAAACAAGUGACAGGUCCAAAUCGCAGGUUUUCUUCUAAGUCAAAUUCCAAGUCCAACAUGUAUAACCUACUUAAUUUAUUACCACAUGCUCCAAAUUCAGAUUUGCAAUCUACAAUAUAAUCCAUGAAUUCGAGCUAGAAUAGAGUAUCCAAAGGUCGAAAAUUAUACAUGCCGACGAAUAUGAACUUAGGAGUAAAAACCGAUGUAACCCACCUCGACAGCGACCCAAGCACCGGCGCGACGUCGAGAACGACGAAAAUGCACCCUCGCCCGGCCUCCAACGGCACUACCACGACGCACGCACGCUCCAACGGCUCGCAGGCGCGAAGUUGACGUCGCUCCAAUCUCCAACUAUAGCCUCCACGAGCUCUCCACUUCCAACUAGAGAGAGAGGGAAAUUACAAAUCACCACUAUCCCUCUGUAGGCCACAAGAUAAGGAUGCAUGGGGGGUGCACGUGGCAUCCAAAGCCACCCCCAUGCAUCACCUUAAAAGGUACACUAUUCCUGAUAUAUGGCUGGCAGGGAUCUCGUUCACCGUUUCUCGAACUACCAACCAUGAGCUCUGGGUUCAAGUUUAGAAUCAACUAAGUGUAAAGAUCGAUUCAAAUAAAGAUUUACUCUAUUUGUUUCGCCCAUCGCACGAUAGAUAGAGAGAGUUUUUUUUUUUUUCUUUUUUCUUUUCCUGAUAUAUUACGUUAUACGGAUCUCUCUCUACCAUCUCUCUAUUAACUCUCUCUCUCUACCAUCUCUCUCUCCCCUUGUGUAUGUGUGGAUAACGUUCUCUUCGAGAAUAGUUUCAGUAAGACCGUCUAAGGGAAGGUGAAACUUCCCUAACCCGGGUUGGGGAGUAGGAAUUUCGAGAGUCUAAGUCCGGUGUGUGGACGGUGUUGGUGUGUGUGUGUGUGUGUGUGUUGUGGGUGUGUUUUUUUUUUCCUCAAUGUAUUCGAGGGUAGGUGAAGUGGUGAUAGUGGUGAGGUUUUUUUUUGUUAUUCUUUGCGAUUUUAUAUAUAUUUUUUUAAGAUAUUUAUAGAUAAAAAUAUGUCAAAAAGAAAGAAUUGAAAAUGUAUUGGCUGGCAGGGAUUUUAUUCACCGUUUUCCGAAGCACCAACCAUGGGCUCCAGGGUUCAAGCUUAAGGUCAACUAAGUAUAAAGAUUGAUUCAAAUAAAGAUUUACUUUAUUCACUUCCCCCAUCGCACGCUAAGUAUAAAGAUUGAUUCAAAUAGAGAUUUACUUUAUUCACUUCCCCCAUCGCACGAUAGAUAGAGAGAGAGUUUUUUUUUUUUUUUUUAAAUCGUAAGGAAUGAUAAGGAACGUAUAUAAAAACAUCUAAAUCACCCACUCGGCAACUCCAGCCACCGUCUUAGGUGACUCCUGAUGAGAUAAAAUGUCAUCAAGAGUGUGGGUUAACAACUGUGGAAAAACGUCUCGGAAGCAGACGCCGAUGACAACAACGACUAAGGCUGGCGCCCUUCCCUCAGCACUCGAUCUAAGAACGAUGGGAACCAACGACACGAUCGCCUCAUGGGCAGUCCCCAUCACCCAAAACAAGUACAUGUAUGAGAUACAAACUGAAUGAGCGACCUUGCUCCACAAUCACAACCAAGCCUCGAAAACAUACAUGAUACUUGAAAUACAAAAUAUAUAUGUACAAAGUCAAAUCGUCGAGAAUGGAAAACCAACAUCGAUACUAAACUAAAAUCCAUGUCGACAGCGAAGCAUAUGUGCUUUUUAAAGAUACAUAUGUCCAGACAACUGCACGGGCCUCUUUGCACCAUUAGGCCCCGCACUGUAAUUUUUAUUUAAUAUACGAUAAAAAAUCAAUUAUAAUUAAUUGGCCAAUUUAUGAACUUUCAACUUACUGAGUUUAUAGGAAUCUAUAUUAGGUUCGUAUGUUUUCCUUCUCUCCAUUUCUCAGAACUCGCAGUUGCUUAUUUUAACGCUUGGUCUCAGUAAGCUUAUUUCACGUUUUGAUUAUUUUCCUCGCCUUGCGCUAUUCUUGGGUUUUUCUUCUCCUUUUUUAUUAAUACUUUACGUGUAUUUAUUAAACAUUUGGAUAAUUUUAAUCCCCGGCAAACCAACAUACAUCAAUGUUGACAUCAUGGGAACAAAUAAAUAAAUAAAUAAAAAAAAAUUUUAAAAAAAUCAGCCAACNGAAGUAGUAAGAGCUUGCCUAAAAACAAGGGAAAUGCUGAAUUACCCACCUCGACAACACCAAGCACUGAUGCGACAGCAAAAACAGCGAAAACCUACUCUCGCCCGGCCUCCUCGCGCUACCCCGGCGUCAAACACGUGCUCGAACGGCUCCGCGGCGCGACGUCGGGGACGAAUUCUCCAACCGAGCUCUCUUGUCGCACGGAGUCCGUUUUGCGUCUAUUUGACGCCAACGCGACUCGGACUUGUCCCGACACUCUCCAGAGCUGCCGACAAGCCUCCACAAUAGAACACCAGGGAUCUCACAUGAAAUGUCAAAUUUGCCAUCACAAAUAUGUCUUUUCAAAGGCCACAACAGUAUAAUAUAAGAGGGAUAAAAAUCCGCAACGGUCGCUCCUCGUAUCUCAGAUCCUCGCUAAUCUCAAGUGGAGUGAAGUCGAUCACGUGAGUGGGAUCGAAAACGUAUCUCCUCAAGGCUGAGACGUGAAAAACAUCGUGGAUGCCAGCAAGUCGCGGGGGUAGAGCUAUCCUGUAUGCAACCGGUCCGAUACGCUCCAAUACCUCGAAAGGGCCAACAAACCGUGGACUAAGCUUUCCACGUAUUCCAAAUCGGCGUAUCCCUCUGGACGGCGAGACUUUGAGGAAACAUGAUCUCCAACCUGAAACUCCAAGUCUCGUCUCCUGGUAUCGGCGUAGCCCCUCUGUUGGCUCUGUGCUGUCAAAAGGUGUCGUCGAACGAUUCUCACCUUUUCCUCAGCCUCAAGUAGAAUCUCCGGUCCAAGUGUCCUCCGCUCACCCACAUCGCUCUAAAACAGGGGGGAUCGACAUCUGCGUCCAUACAACGCCUCAAACGGAGCCAUCUGAAUGCUCGUUUGAUAGCUGUUGUUGUACGCAAACUCAACCAGUCUCACAUGUCGAUACCACCCUCAUCCAAAAUUCAGGACGCAUACCCUCAGCAUGUCCUCUAGAGUCUGUAUGGUCAGCUCAGACUGACCAUCUGUCUGUGGGUGAAACGCCGUGCUAAAAUGCAGCUGAGUGCCCAAGGCAGUCUGAAGGCUCCUCCAAAACUGGGAUACAAACCUCGGGUCUCUGUUUGACACAAUCGACACUGGCACGCCGUGCAGCCUAAUGAUCUCAUCCAAGUAUAGCUGCGCGAGUCUCUCUCUGGACCAGGUAGUCUGAACCGGUAGGAAGUGAGCAGACUUGGUCAGUCUGUCCACUAUCACCCAAAUCGCGUCGUAGCCACCCUGCGCUCUAGGCAAUCCAACGACGAAGUCCAUCGUGAUGUGCUCCCACUUCCACUCGGGAACUGGCAGACUCUGAAGCUUGCCAGCAGGCACCUGAUGCUCGGCCUUCACCUGUUGGCAAGUCAAACACUGAGCCACAUAUCUGCCAAUGUCCCUCUUCAUUCCAGGCCACCAGAACCGUGCCUUAAGAUCCUUAUACAUCUUGGUUCCCCCAGGGUGAACCGUAUAAGGGGAACAAUGAGCCUCUCUCAGAAUAUCCGCUCGAAUCUCCGGAUCCACAGGCACACACAGUCGGUCCCUGUACCGUAGUACUCCCGAACUGUCCAAAGCAAAUCCCUCAGCCUGCCCCCUGUCUAGCUGCUCUCUAAUCCUCAACAAGUACGGAUCUCCACUCUGUUUCUCUCGGAUCCUAUCCAACAGAGUGGGCUGUAAAACUAGAGACGUCAGCCUCGCCGUAGACCCAGGGGGUACUAUCUCGAGUCCCAGCCGCUGUAGCUCCUCGAGUAGGGGUCUCUGCUCAGUAAUCCUCAAACUCAGGCUCUGCACUGACUUCCUGCUCAACGCAUCUGCCACCACAUUCGCCCUGCCGGGAUGAUACUGAAUACUAAUGUCAUAGUCCUUCAGUAACUCCAACCACCGGCGCUGCCUCAGAUUCAGCUCCCUCUGUGUGAACAGAUACUUGAGACUUUGAUGAUCGGUGAAGACCUCGCAGUGCUCGCCGUACAAGUAAUGCCGCCAGAGCUUCAAAGCAAAAACCACCGCGGCAAGCUCCAAGUCAUGCGUAGGGUAAUUCUUCUCAUAAUCCUUUAACUGCCGUGAAGCAUAAGAAAUCACCCUACCAUGCUGCAUCAGCACGGAACCAAGUCCACUGUGCGAUGCAUCACUGUAGAUCACGAAUCCAUCCCCCAUCACCGGAAGGGCAAGGAUAGGAGCCGACGUCAACCUCAGUCUCAACUCGUCAAAGCUUCUCUGACAGUCGUCGCUCCAGACAAAACGAAUUCCCUUCCGCGUCAAGCGUGUGAGGGGUGUGGAAAGCUUCGCAAAGCCUUCCACAAACCGACGGUAAUAUCCUGCCAGUCCCAGGAAGCUUCGUACCUCAGUCACCGUCGUCGGUCUAGGCCAAUCUCGAAUUGCCUCAAUCUUCCUCGGGUCCACUGCUACGCCCUCAGCUGAAAUCACGUGGCCCAAGAAAGCAAUCUCCCGUAGCCAGAACUCGCACUUCUUUAACUUGGCAUACAGCUUCUUCUCUCGCAAAAGCUGUAGCACAAUCCUCAAGUGCUCCUCAUGCUCAGCAUCACUCCGGGAGUAAAUUAGGAUAUCGUCGAUGAAGAUUACCACAAACCUAUCCAAGAACGGCUUGAACACUCUGUUCAUCAAAUCCAUGAAUGCGGCAGGAGUAUUCGUCAAUCCGAAAGGCAUCACCGUGAACUCAUAAUGCCCGUACCGAGUCCGAAAAGCCGUCUUGGGAACAUCCUCGUCCCUCACCCUCAAUUGGUGGUAACCUGACUGGAGAUCAAUCUUCGAAAAGACAUAAGAUCCCUGCAGCUGAUCAAACAAAUCAUCAAUGCGCGGCAAGGGAUACCUAUUCUUGAUGGUCACUUUAUUUAGCUCCCGGUAAUCCAGACACAGCCUAAGUGAAUCAUCAUUCUUCUUAACAAACAACACCGGCGCUCCCCAAGGCGAAACACUGGGUCUCACAAACCCUCUAUCCAUCAAAUCCUGAAGCUAUGCCUUUAGCUCUCUCAGCUCUGCCGGCGCCAUCCGAUAAGGUACCUUCGAGAUUGGUGCAGUUCCAGGAACUACAUCAAUCACAAACUCAAUCUUCCUCUCCGGCGGCAACGUCGUCAACUCAGGAGGAAACACAUCCGGAAACUCGCGGACUACUGGGAUGUCCUCGAGUCCCAGCGCCGCCGUAGGUACCUCCAUAACUGUCGCUAGGAAAGCGAUACACCCACUACUCAGCAUCUGUCGAACCCUUGCCGAAGAUAUCCAAGUGGCAAACAGCGUGCUCCUGCAGCCUCUAAAAGUAAACUCCUCCUGACCUGGCUCGCGGAACGUUACAGUCCUCACUCCACAGUCUAUCGUAGCAUAGUACCGCGCUAGCCAAUCCAUACCGAGCACAACGUCGAAGUCCUGCAGCUGCCCUAACACCAAGAGGUCUGCGGGUAUGAUCCAAGAAUUCAACUGCAUCGGACACGACUAACAACACUCUGCAACCUGUAAAACGUGGUUCGGGAUCUGCACCUCUCGUGCCUGUGACAAUGCCCCUAACUCUAGACCAUGCAACAAUAUAAAUGCUCGGCUAACAAAAGAAUGUGAUGCACCGGUAUCAAAAAGAGUGCGAACUCUAAUGCCAGAAAUUAAAGUGAUACCUGCCACCACUCAGUCGGCUGCUGUAGAGUCCUCCACCUGAUCUGCGUAGACUCUGCCACUCGGAGCCUGCUGUCGCUGCUCACCCUGACGCGGCACAGACGAUAUGUCCUGCUGGCGGUAACUCGGUACUGCUCCGUAAGACUGCUGUGGUGCUGGUGGUGCUGAAGCUGAUGAUGGUGCUGGAGACGCUGCUCGGGGACAAACUGCCCUCAUGUGUCCUGGCUGACCACACACGUAACACCGGCCCUCCCUCUGCUCAUACUGUCGGGGCCAGUGUGGUCCCCCGCAGAUCACACACUAUGGCGUCCUCUGAGUCUGCCCCUGCUGAUGGGAUCCCCUGGAACGCUGAAGCCCCAAAGACCCACGACCCUGAGAACGUGAUCGUGGAGGCCUCGGCGGACGUCUGCUGCUCGACUAUCCUCCGUCAUCCGGAAAGGGGCGCUUCCUGUCCUGACCCUGCCCCACGGCCUGAGUCCUCUCCUGAAGCAACACCUCACCUCUCUCUACCCAUAAGGCCUGCUCUAUGGACGCAUCCAGGGUCCUCGACCUCUGCGUCCGCGCCAACCUGAAAAUGUCUGGUCUCAGCCCCCGCUCGAACAUGUACACCCUGUGCGCCUCAUCUCUGGCCACAAAUGGCACACAGUUUAGGAGUCGAGUAAACUCCCGAAUGUACUCCUGCACUGGACGAUCCCCCUGCUGAAGCCUCCUCAAAUCCUCCUCGAGUUUCUGUUUCACACUGUUGGGAAAGAACAUCGCAAACAGCAUUCCACAUAACUCAUCCCAUCUCAGCUAUAAUGUUACCAGUCCCUGCUCUCUCCUCACUUUCCUCCACCAGGCGUGGGUGUCACCAGCCAAACAAUGGACUCCCAAAGACACUUGCUCCCUCUCAGGGAUGAAAAGAUCCUCGAAUAGCUUCUCCAUCGCACUGACCCAACCCUCAACAACCCAGGCCUCAGUGCAACUGCCAUCGAAAAUCGGUGGAUCAAAACGACGGAAACGAGCCAAGCUCUCCGUCCACCGCUCCUGCUCGGCCUCUGUCAACUGUACUGGCCCCCUAGCAGGCGCAACUGGCGCUACUGGAACUGCUGCUUGCAGAGAAACUGCCGCAGCUAGUACUGUCACUAGGGUAGUCAGAGGUGGAACAGACGACUCCGGUGCCCUCGGUGCAGAACUCUGGGGCGAAAUUAGCCUCUCGCACAUCCUCUCCAACAACUCCUCCUGCCGCCUCGUCACCUCUGUCAGGGCGGCUAACUGUGCACUCAAAUUCGGGGAUGCACUCGCCUCCGGUCGGGCCCUCUGCUCUACAACUGGGGGUGCAGUCACCUCUGGUGGUGCACUCGGCUCUGCUUGCUCAGGCAUCUCGGGAGAUCUAGCACGAUCUUACGCCAACUGCGCACGCUCCCGCAACGACGGUCGGCCUCGGCGACGUUACAUAGCCGAAAAGAACAAAUCGGGGUCAGUUGAAACACAAACACUCUCGACCCAAUUAAUGAAAGUCUGGAAGGCGGACACUAUUUCCCUACAAAAUUAUGUCGUCUGCAGCCAACAUAAUUUCUCAGGCCAAAAUAGGAACUCCUUCAGUCACUCACUCCACUCUAGGAGGAGUUAGAACAGAUAAUCAUUGACUUUCGCAAUUAAAUUACGUCUCUCGCGUCUUGCUUUCCUAAGGUUUGCCAAAUUUAGGUUUCCUAGGUCCCAACGACCUAUAACAAAACUCUGAUACCAACUUAAUCUGUCACGCCCCGGAUUACACGUUCCCCGGGCACGCCGACAAAUCUGCCGUAUACAAUAGAAUUUCCCCUGUAUACGAAAGGCGCAGCAGCCGAAACCUGUGGCUCUGCAAAAACAGGGGGUAACAACAGGGCGUGAGAACUACUGUAAAAAUAAGUAGUCCUCAGUGGGUGCCGCCCAAAACAACAUCGGUCCACCCACUAAGUCUACAAAGGGGAGCCAGGAUAGUAGGAAAAAGCAGGAAAUAAACUCUACCGCUAAAAAUCACUACACUAUCAUACUCUACACUAAUCAACUGUAGGAAAUAUCAAAUCUGACCCAAUCCAAUCGGGACUGUAAACCUACCCGUCCCUGGGACUGUGAAUACACCCGUCCCUGCCCAGUUGCGACUGUCCAGCUACCUCCACACUAACAGGUCCGUGGAGAGCAAGUCCAACCGGCAUGAGCGACACCAACGCGAAAGUACAAAGCCCGUCUCCGGAGUGGCACUCGUGGGCGCUACCCAACCGAGUAUGCAGCGUAUCUCUGUCGAGCUGAAACAGGCUC